GAUGAACGCUGGCGGCGUGCCUAAUACAUGCAAGUCGAGCGAACAGAUGAGGAGCUUGCUCCUCUGACGUUAGCGGCGGACGGGUGAGUAACACGUGGAUAACCUACCUAUAAGACUGGGAUAACUUCGGGAAACCGGAGCUAAUACCGGAUAAUAUAUUGAACCGCAUGGUUCAAUAGUGAAAGACGGUUUUGCUGUCACUUAUUGAUGGAUCCGCGCCGCAUUAGCUAGUUGGUAAGGUAACGGCUUUCCAAGGCAACGAUGCGUAGCCGACCUGAGAGGGUGAUCGGCCACACUGGAACUGAGACACGGUCCAGACUCCUACGGGAGGCAGCAGUAGGGAAUCUUCCGCAAUGGGCGAAAGCCUGACGGAGCAACGCCGCGUGAGUGAUGAAGGUCUUCGGAUCGUAAAACUCUGUUAUUAGGGAAGAACAAAUGUGUAAGUAACUAUGCACGUCUUGACGGUACCUAAUCAGAAAGCCACGGCUAACUACGUG
rnacentral:rRNA from 1 species